rnacentral:rRNA from 1 species
UACGUAGGGCGCAAGCGUUAUCCGGAAUUAUUGGGCGUAAAGAGCUCGUAGGCGGUUUGUCGCGUCUGCUGUGAAAUCCCGAGGCUCAACCUCGGGUCUGCAGUCGAUACGGGCAAACUAGAGUAUUGCAGGGGAGACUGGAAUUCCUGGUGUAGCGGUGAAAUGCGCAGAUAUCAGGAGGAACACCGGUGGCGAAGGCGGGUCUCUGGGCCGAUACUGACGCUGAGGAGCGAAAGCGUGGGGAGCGAACAGGA